UCCUAGUAGCUCAGACAGUAAAGCAUCUGCCUGCAAUGCAGGAGACCCAGGUUUGAUCCCUGGACUGGGAA
rnacentral:tRNA from 1 species